rnacentral:rRNA from 1 species
GACGAACGCUGGCGGCGUGCUUAACACAUGCAAGUCGAACGGAAAGGCCCUGAUUUUGCGGGGUGCUCGAGUGGCGCACGGGUGAGUAACACGCGAGUAACAUGUCCUUGACUUUGGGAUAACUUCUGGAAACUGGGGCUAAUAUAGGAUAGGAGCUUCUGCUCCAUGGGGGGGGUUGGAAAGUUUCGGCGGUUGGGGAUGGACUCGCGGGUUAUCGGCUUGUUGGUGGGGUAGUGGCUUACCAAGGCUUUGACGGGUAGGCGGCCUGAGAGGGUGACCGGCCACAUUAGGACUGAGAUACGGCCCAGUCUGCUACGGGAGGCAGCAGUGGAGAAUAUUACACAAUAGGCGGAAGUGUGAUGCAGCGACGCCGCGAGCGUGAUGACGGGCUUCGAGUUGUAAACCUAUGUCGCCUGUGACGAAGCGUGAGUGACGGUAAUGGGUAAGAAAGCACCGGCUAACUACGUG